UUUGAUUGGUUGCAAAGAUCGAUAAACAACUCAAAAGAACUCAAGGAACUCAAAGAAUUCCGUUCUAAAAACAAAGUAUUUCCUUAAAAUUUUAACGUAUAAGCAUGGCUUACAACUUGAUUGAUGAUGUACUUAAAAGAUUUAAAACCGAUAAUCUUGUCGAUUUAAAUACUUUUUAUGAAACUUUAUUGGAUACAUUUAUUUACAACAAUAAAAAAAUGGUUAGUAACGAAGGUCUUUUAAGUCGUUUUAUUGAUGGCACAAUAAGAAGAAAUAUAUGUGCCGAAUUUGUAUCCCUUCUUUCUUAAAAGACAAUAAAAUGCAUUGUAUUGCUCAAAGGUCUGAAGCAUCUGGAAGUUGUAUGUACAGCUCUGCAUCAUUAUUUUUUGUUGCUGACAAUACACUGAUAAAUGUGUUAAGAGUUUUAACAUCCCUUGAAUUUAUAUACAUGCUGAUUAUUACUGUAAGCAUUCUUUAAUUUCAAAAAUAUUUUCUGAUU